rnacentral:lncRNA from 1 species
CACAAGUAAUCUAGGUCUAAGCACCACGCUUACACCUAUACUACAACUCUAACCUAUAGGGUCCUAUAGAUUAGAAGUACUCAAAAGAGUUGUGAACCAGAACAUACAUGAUUAGUAAUUGCUUAAUGAAUUAGAAGUAGAUUACCAGAGUCAUCCCAUGAGCAAGCUUGAUUAGAGCUUGAUCAUGGCGAAGUACAACCGGAGGAAGAACCGACAGGCCGACCUCUCCUCUAAUCCUCCUUCGCUCUCCAUCUCGCUACUAUCUAGAUCUACUCUAGUUUAGAGAAGAGAGGAGAGCUCUCAUCUCUAAACCCUAGCUUUUGCUCUGUCUAUGAAUAAUGAAUAAUGAACAAGGGGUGCCUCCUCCAGGGGCCAGGGGGUCUGGUUUUAUAGUCCCCUCAAGUGAACCUGGGCCGUCGGAUCAAACCGACAUUGAUUGAACGGUUAUUCUUGAUCCUUUAGGUCGGUGGAGCAUAAUCCGCGAGAUUGAGCGUGAUUGGCCACAGGAGGUGGGCGGGCGCCCUGUCUCUGGCCCCGAUUCGCCUCCGCUUCGGUCUCGUGGCUUCUGGAGUCUUCUAGAUGUAAGAUAAUUGCGCGGCACGUUAAUAUCUUUACGUAAUCCCGACGUGUGGGUCUUUCUUCCUUAUUUCCUGAUAACCCCCUGCAGAAAUUGACAAACACCAAAACUCAUAGAAUUCUGUCAGAUAAAUCCCUAAGUCUGGAUGUUGAUUUCAUUUGGAUCCUUUUCUUUAUUUAUUUGAUAAUUAAAUUUGAUACUUAAGGACCGUCAACAAACUCCCCCAAGCUUACCUCUUGCUCGUCCCUGAGCAAGGAUAGACUCAGCAAUGGAUCAGAAGUUGUUAUAAUAUCUUAAAAAUUUGAUGGUACACAUGCUUUUAAAUGAGGUCUCAUCUCUGAGUUAGAGUAAACUGUCAAGACUUAAAACUUACUUACUUUACCUUUCACCAUGGGACUUGUAACCGUCACUUCUGUCUUGAGUAGUUAAAAGAUAGAACAGUCUAGCCAAGUGCCACGUCUCUUAUUCUUGAUCAGCUAUAGCUCUGGAGUUUUUGCAGAUUUUCAAAUAAAACUCAGAGAUUCCUUUGUAUGACUCUCUCAUAUCUCUCUUUUGUGGUAUUUCUGGAUCCUUACCAAGGCAGUGAUGGUAUAUGUCUUCUCUCAAAAUAUGUGGUAUUUGUGGUAUAAGGCAUAGUGACAUUGCCUUCUCUCUCACCCUACUCUAAUAAGGCUUUAAUAUCUGCAGCUCAUAGGUGGGAGAUAAAGUAUACAUACUUACAAGACAUUUAUUGUAUAGUCAAACCAUGGAUCCAAAGAAACAAAUCAAUAAGCCAAAUCAAGAUGUCCAUGUGUGGCGAAUGAAUAGUGUAUGGUGAUGAUGGUGAUAACAAUGGUGAAAGUCUAAUUCUACUUUUGCUCUUUUGAGGGGAUACAUACCUUCCUUGCUUUUUGAAACUUUAUGAGGAGAAUGAGAUGCUCUUCUUUUUCUUUUCUCUCAGAUGGGUAUCCUGUACCCCUAAUUCUACUGUCGGACACUUGUCCAUUUUACCUCUCGUCUCACUCUUUCUUUCUUUCGAGGUUCCGGGCACUUGCCCCUUUUUAUUUCCUCGUUUAUUAUUUUUUUUCUUUUUUUUAGAGCACUCAUCUCUUAAGAUAAUAUAGCAAGUGGUAGUAGCAAGAUAACUUGAGCAUUUAUUUCACAGGGAAUAACAGGGAUAGGAAAAUGUUUUUGGCUAUUCUCUCCCGGAUUAGGAGUAGAAUGAUUUUGGGUGAAACUGGAGAUGGAAAUGGAUGGAUAUAUGUGGAUGGUACUUCCGGAGUAGAAGUAGCAUAUACGAGUGAACGUGCAAGUGAAUCUUGAUUUAACCACAUGACAAGCUCCUAAGGGUCUACACAGCUUGACCACACUCAAUGCUCAUAAGCAGUAAAUAAUAAAUGUGUGGCUCAAAGUCUAGCAAGCAUGUAUAUAUGGCUGUGGUAGGAAUUUAAACUUUCAUCAUACAGGAACUCAUCAUGCAACAUUUUAAAGAUUUUUCAAAGAUAAAAUUCUCCAGAAUUCUAGCAUCUCUAGGAAUAGAUAAACAGUAGCUCAACCUUCCCAUAUCUUAUCCGUUAACAACUUAGAUUUCAGAUCAAGUUUUCAUCCCACAAGUUUAGAUCUAGAGCAAGCUUUAAAUUAUAACAGUUAUGUCUAAACUUGAGAGAGAACUUCAAAUUUGCAAAUUAGGCAGAGCAACUAUUCAUCAUAUCCAUGCUAGAGUUUUAUUAUUAAGAUUCAUAUCAAACUUUAUUUAUUUAUUUAUUUAGCAAACUAAGAAAAGAUAUAUAUAUAUAUAUAAGCAUAAAAUCUUUAUUUGGUUUUUCAUAGUUUAUGUAUUUUAAUAUUCUAAUAUAAUAUAAGUUAUAAAGAUAGGUAGAAAUACUUAGCGAGAUAAAUAGGGGUGCUCUCCCCCAAGCUGAAUUUUGACGUAAUUUCUCUUGAUGUAGCUAGCAGGUGGCAGAGGUGUAUUUGAAAGUCAGCAGCAUUCUGACAGCGAUUAGAAUGUCCUCCAUCUGCUAGUCUUCUUGAUUCUUAAAUUCUGUGGAGCUCAAAUAGACAACAAAGCUUGUGGAACUAAUUAAGUGUUAGCAUAAAUAUCUAGCCUUCAUCACGUUGAGCUUCCUCAAUAAAUAUUACUCCCUGUUUUUAUAUUUUUAUUUUAUAAAGUAGAAAAGAAAUAUUUAUUUUAUUUUUAUGCCACCAUAGUGAAGGUACUUAUGGGUUUUAUGCCACAUGGGGCUUAGUAUUUUUUAACAUUUUUAUUUUCUUUUCAAGAUAGCAUGAUUAACUAAUAAUCUAUUUAAGGAAAGUAAAUAAUUAAAUAGAAAAGGGAAUGCAGAAAGGAUAAAUAUGGAUAACUACAAAUCUUACCUUUCGGCGAGGGUUCAAUGUUUUAAGUCUUCUUGUCAAGACUUCUCAUCGUGUUCAUUCUUCAGGUGCGUCAUUUGAUUCAGGUGCGGACCUUGACGUCUGCACCUUUUAAUACGGUGUCACCCAUGUUCUUCGUUUGCCCAGCAGUUCGAAGUGUGGCGUUGGCAGUAACCUGCUCAGUGUGUUUGUGCUCGUAGAUCCAGGUCCUUCCCUUGGUAGAGUCUGAGAGUUAUAAAACUCCUCUGUGUUUUGCUCAAAGUGUACCUGCUCAUAGAGACAAGGCAGAGAUCAAGUGCAUGGGCCCUGUUGGUGGAAAACACCAACAGAACCAAAAGUGUAUUUGUUCUUCUCUAACCUUAAGCAUAGUGAGCAAGACAAGUUGAUGGAUGAUAAGUUCAUGAGUGUAGCACUUAUAACAUUUGUCAGAUCAGAUCGGUCAACCUUAUGGAAAGAUAAUCUAUGUAUAUGUCUUUUUUCUUUAUAUCUCUCAAAGAUUGAAUGUGUAACAUUUUAGCUCAUAUGAUUAGGAGUGUGGGAUCAUGGAGGUAGUACUAAGAACAAGGAUUAAAGGACUAAACAUGUUGAAUCAGUUGGGUUGGUUAAUCUAGAGUUGUAAAUCAUAUACGUUUGUCUCUUUUAUUUAUAUGAACGUCAGAACCAAGGAGAAGCUUAUAAAAGUGAUAGUCAAGUACCUUAAGAUGUUACCUUGCUUGAAGAGUGAUGGUACAGUAUCAUCUUGUGGAAGCUUUCCUUUCUUAGCGGUUGUGCAUCGUGUUUGUGGCACCCUCCAUGGAUCAUCUCUCUAUGAUGAAUGAGCUAUGUCCUUCUUGUGCAAAUUGUUAAACUUCAUGUGUCACUCUCUUCGUCUCUGAUGUGAGUUUAUCUCAGGACUUCCCAAAUCGAUAUUGAAAGUUUUUCUGCAAGGGUUAGUCCGACAAAAUAUACCAAUAUCUACUCAAGCAGUUUUUUUUAGUUCAAUAACCAAACUAGACUCCAUGUCUAAUCAGAUUAAGGAAGGCUAUUCAACCUAAGCACCAUGCUUAAUUUAAAUGCCAAUGGAAGUAUGGCGAGUACUUCCAAACCAACACUUGCUAGUAAAUAGACAAAGGUAGCAUGGCAGCAUUUAUAGAGAUUUACUUAAGUGGAGAUGAAGUAGUGUGAUUAGUAUUUAACAAAUUGAGCAUGUCUCAAAGGUAGGGACAACCAGCAUAGCAACAUGGCAAAGGAUGUUUUUAUGUAAAGUACUCUCCCAAGCUUGAAUUUUACAAAAUUCAAGUUUGGAUGAAUUUAAUUCAAUGUUGUAUGAUGAUUGGUUGGACAUACCUUGUGCUUGUCAUUCAUCCGAUCUUCUUGCUCCAAUCUUAGAAAGGUUAGUGACAAGAAUACCCGAAGGAAUAUAUAUUUUUGUUUUACAAUUAUCCUUAUAUGCUCAAUACACAAGGUAAUGUUGCAAAUAAUUAAAGGCUCAUGUUACGAUCUGAUCAAUGCUUAUUUUAAGACACUAAGCUUGUCCUUGGGAAACCAUCAGUUUAUGUUGGCGAAGUGGUUUCCCCUCCGACGCCAACCUAUAUCUAGAUCAACUCAACGAGAUCUGCAAUAUUUAUUAUAGACAUAUGUAUCGACAACCGCCCUUUUAAAGUUUUUAUAAAUAGAAAGGAAGAGGGGGUUGGAGAUCUCAAGUGUGGUGAUGUCGGAGAGACCAAUAGAUUGGGAAGAUGUUGCAUAUGAGCAUGGAGUAAACGAAGUGGCUAUGAAAUAAAUUCCAUGCUCAUUAAUGUUAUCUUCGUCUCUAAUCUGAAUGUUCGGAGUUUCUCCUGGAUUGGUCUCACCUAUGUCCUCUUCUGUAGUUGGAUGAAUCUCAUCUUCAAAGGGAGUCAAGAACUCACCAUUUGAAAUUGAGCCAAAGUCAGAACCCAUUAAGGCUUCUUCCUUAUCCAUCCAUUCUACACAUUCUAGCCAUUUAGAACUUGUGAUCAAAAUAGGGGAGGCGUUAGAAUUUUCUAUAUGGCUUAGCUCUCCUUCUAUGGCAUUACUUGACAUGCCAUCCUUAUGGUCUUCAUGACUCCUAUGGUUUGGUCGUCUUGGUGAAUUGCUAGGAUCAUCAUGAGAUUGAAAAGAAGAGGGAUAAGAGGGAUCUCUAAGGUCAAGGAUGGAUUUAGAACUUGUGAACAUGGAAGGGGAGUAGAUAGAAUUGUCUAUAUGGCUUAGCUCUCCUUCACUUGAUAUGUCAUCCUCGACUUCUUCAUGAUAGGAACCAGGACAUUCUCUAAGAGAAACAUUAUUGCAAGGAUUUGAAUUAUCCCUACUUGAAGGUCUCUUAUAGAACCAGAAGUCUAAACCAUCAGCAUCUAAAAGAUUUAAGGUCGGAAUUCCUUCCUCCCUUGGAGAAUUUUGGGGUAUUGAUGGUUUAGGAUCGAUAGCUAAAGUUUGGGAUUGAAGUGGUUGUGAUCUGGCUAUCGAAACUUCUUCUUCUUGUCUAGGAACUGGUUCUUUCUCUUUCUCAGGGAUAUAAAAGCUAGGAGACUUUCCGCUCAUUAAAUCAAUCAAAUUCCAAGCUUCACUAGCGGAUAGGUGGUGGAAAGAUCCUCCAGAGGCCGCAUGAAGGGUUUGCUUAUCUUCCUUACUAAGGCCCUCAAAAAAGUGAAUUAGAAGAACUUCUUCUGGAAUAGAAAGUUUUCGGCCAGUGAGAGUAAGGUUAAUAAAGCGGUCCCAUGAUUUGCCAAGAGAUUCUUCUUCCAGUUGUCUAAAAGAAAGAAUCUCACGCCGAAGUUCCACCACUUUGGAGAUUGGAAAAUAUUUAGAAAGAAAACUACUAUAUAACUCCUUCCAAUCUCCAUGAACACUCCCUACUUUGAGUUUAUACCAAUAUCUAGCUUUUCCCGUUAAAGAGAACGGAAAGAGCUUCCGUUUAAGGGUCUCAUCGGACAUGCCUUCUAUGCGAAGGAGGUCACAGACUCGAUAAAACUCUCUUAGGUGUGUGUAUGGAUUUUCCUCACCUUUUCCUGAGAAAGGUUGUUUUUGAAUAAAUUCUAUGUAUUCGGGGUCUAUCUCAAAACUAGAUGCUAUGAUAGGCUUUGAAGAUUUUGGUGGUUCGAGAUGUGUGCCCAUAGGUCUAUGAAAUUCAUAGAUAGACAUGUUUGAAUUCAUAAUAGACCAGAGAUCAAGGAUUAGAUAGAGAGAAUAGCAGAGAUGAGGCAAAGGAUAAAAGGAAAAUAUUUUUUUUUUAUUUAUUUUUUUAUAAAAUGAUUAAACUAGUUCGUAGUCAACUCAGCAACCGUUUCCCCGGCAACGGCGCCAAAAAUGCUUGUUGACACUUGCUAACACCACUUGAAUACUAGGUUGUCAUCCCCAGCGUGGCACUAGAGUGUACUAUGGUAUUUAUACGCACACAGAUAAUCCGCAAGCGCACGGAUACCGUUGAAGCAUUUACCCGGUUAAAGGUUUUAUCGUAUCCAUAGGGAAACGGGAGAACUGAUCUACGCUCUAACUUAACCAAGAUAAGUAAAUAGGUGUGAAUAGGAAAGAUGGUAGAAUCGAAUAAGAACAAUAUUAAAGGUAAGAUAACAGUGAGUGAUAAUAUGGGAAUAGAGAGUAGAGCAACUCUAGUAUAUGGGCGAUGGUAGCAGAAUAGAGAGGAUAACUAUGGUUUCUCUACUUCAAAGGGGUAUGUCUAUGUCUGGGACGAACCACGUGAUAAGAGUACACCACAAAGGAUGCUUAUCCUUAGGCCGAUAAACCCUACCCGUCCUGCUAACGAGAGGUGGACUACAGGGGACCAACGUAACUGUCACCUACGCGGCCUACCACACGAUCCAGCUAGUCAGGGGAUAUCCACAAGUAAUCUAGGUCUAAGCACCACGCUUACACCUAUACUACAACUCUAACCUAUAGGGUCCUAUAGAUUAGAAGUACUCAAAAGAGUUGUGAACCAGAACAUACAUGAUUAGUAAUUGCGUAAUGAUUUAGAAGUAGAUUACCAGAGUCAUCCCAUGAGCAAGCUUGAUUAGAGCUUGAUCAUGGCGAAGUACAACCGGAGGAAGAACCGACAGGCCGGCCUCUCCUCUAAUCCUCCUUCGCUCUCCAUCUCGCUACUAUCUAGAUCUACUCUAGUUUAGAGAAGAGAGGAGAGCUCUCAUCUCUAAACCCUAGCUUUUGCUCUGUCUAUGAAUAAUGAAUAAUGAUCAAGGGGUGCCUCCUCCAGGGGCCAGGGGGUCUGGUUUUAUAGUCCCCUCAAGUGAACCUGGGCCGUCGGAUCAAACCGACAUUGAUUGAACGGUUAUUCUUGAUCCUUUAGGUCGGUGGAGCAUAAUCCGCGAGAUUGAGCGUGAUUGGCCACAGGAGGUGGGUGGGCGCCUUGUCUCUGGCCCCGAUUCGCCUCCGCUUCGGUCUCGUGGCUUCUGGAGUCUUCUAGAUGUAAGAUAAUUGCGCGGCACGUUAAUAUCUUUACGUAAUCCCAACGUGUGGGCCUUUCUUCCUUAUUUCCUGAUAACCCCCUGCAGAAAUAGACAAACACCAAAACUCGUGGAAUUCUGUCAGAUAAAUCCCUAAGUCUGGAUGUUGAUUUCAUUUGGAUCCUUUUCUUUAUUUAUUUGAUAAUUAAAUUUGAUACUUAAGGACCGUCAACACUAUGCUAAUCUAGAUAUCUAAUUGAUGUGGUGGCCCUAAUCUUGAUCAGAGGCUUCUUCUCCCUUGAGGAAUAAUGAAUUAGGGUUGAGAGACUCUCUCCUCCAGGGGCUAGGGGGUCUGGUUUUAUAGUCCGUUCAAGUGAAUAUGGGCCGUUGGAUCAAACCGAUAUUGAUUGAACGGUUAUCCUUGAUCCUUUAGGUCGGUGGAGAUUAGUCCCAAAAGAGAGUCCUGUUUGGACUCCAGGAGGGGGCGGGCGCCCAGGUCAACUGGGCGGGCGCCCAGUGCCUAGCCCCGUUCGGCGUCCGCUUCCAUUCCGUGGCUUCUGGAGUCUUCUAGAUGUAAGAUAAUGGCGCGACACGUUAAUAUCUCUAUGUAAUCCUGACGUGUGGGCCUUUCUUCCUUAUUUCCUGAUAACCCCCUGCAUAAAUAGACAAACACCAAAACUCGUGGAAUUAUGUCAGAUAAAACCCUAAAUCUGGAUGUUGAUUUUAUUUGGAUCCUUUUCUUUGUUUAUUUAAUAAUUAAGUUUGAUACUUAAGGACCGUCAACACUAUCUACUAGUAGUACUCUUAAGUGUUGACGUCCUAUAUAGAAAUAAUUAAUUAAUCUCAGAUAUCAUAUCUUUGGAAAAUAAAGGAAGAUUAAGAAAAGUAAAAAACAAGGAUCAAUGAAAAAUCAUUGGAAAAUAAACAAAAUGAAAUAAAUAAAAACAAUUCAAAAUAAAAAAGAUAAAAAUAGAACAUGAAGCUAUUUCCGCGUGUGCUGGCCACGAGGCUCGAGCCCUCGGCCUUCAUCAGCACACACCCCACAGUUUGGCUGGAUGUAGAAGAAAGAUUGAGAAGAGCACACACACUACAAGUCUACAACGGCUUUAACCAGCUUGCACCAGACUACCUGAGGCUGAUGUGAUGCAGAUAGCAGCUGAACUGCUUCUGGCUGGUACCUUUGCCUUCUAAUUAUAGUUGAAAAGAAGGCCACUAGAAAAGGCACCAGACAGACAGUUCAGCUGCAUCGUUCCUCUAUUCCAGGUUUUAGCCGGCUAGAUCUGGUUGUAACUAGUUGGAACGGGUUGCAACUGAUUGCAACUCGUCCUAGAUGUGCAUGUGCGGGCCAGUUGCCCAGUUGGAUUUAUUGCGUCUCUAUCUCCGUCUCUCGGGGUUAAACGGAAAAAACCGAAACUUGUCAUUAUGCGCCGCUUUUAAAAGCCAAUUAAUCUACUGAGUAUAUGGAAAGGUUAUGGUCCCAGGAUGGCCUCGCUGGAUUCUAUUUCAUCUCCUUCAUCUAAGGCCUUGUUUAGUUGUUGAAAAUUUUUUGGUUUGGCUACUAUAGUAUUUUUGUUUGUAUUCGAUAAUUAUUGUCCAAUUAUGGACUAACUAGGCUCAAAAGAUUCAUCUCGCAAAUUACAGACAAACUGUAUAAUUAGUUUUUAUUUUUAUCUAUAUUUAAUGUUCGAAGUCUAAAAAUUCGAUGUGACGAGGAAUCUUGAAAAAAUUUAGAAACUAAACACGGCCUAAGAAAAAAAAACAGAUUAAAGGGCCCAAAACGGCUCGUAAAAAUAAAAUGAAUGGAAUGGAGGGAGUACAACACAGUGCGUCUCUCUCUCUCAACGGGCGGAUGAGCAACAGAGAACGCAGGGGUCAGUCUCCCACUCCCAGACACGACUACACGAGACGAGCGUACAGUAGGGAGCAACGAAGUCAAAUGGCUGCAGAGUGCUCGCCUGCCCAAACGUGCACUGCACCCAACUGCAACCGUGUGUUGGCCUCGAGGCUCGAGCCCUCGGUCUCCCCUCCCACUCCCCUCAACAAAAUGGGCCUUGUUUAGUUUCAAAAAAUGAAAAGUUUUCGGUACUGUAGCAUUUUCGUUUGUUUGUAACAAAUAUUAUGCAAUCAUGGACUAACUAGGAUCAAAAGAUUUGUCUCAUGAUUUACAGCAAAACUGUGUAAUUAGUUUUUUUUGUCUAUAUUUAAUGUUUCAUGCAUGUGCCACAAGAUUCGAUGUGACAGGGAAUCUUGAAAACUUUUUGGUUUUCAAGGUGAACUAAACAAGGCCGGUUCCAAAGUAUGAGUACUAGUAGUCGAGACCAGUUGCAAUCUGCACUGACAUGGGAAUGGGGACUAAAUAAAAAAACAGAGCUAAAAAUGGUAACCUCACUGAAGGUAUUAGAGUGCAGAAUACUAGUACGUCGACUUGAAUAAACUACGAAAAUCCUUGCUCAUAAAAACAAAACUCAGCCUAGACACAUAAAGAUGACUAGGAGGCUGGUUGCACUCGUAAUGCAUCCUAAGCUUUUUGAUGAAUGGAAUAUUAUAUGGAGAGUUAGGCCUUGUUUAGUUCCGAAAUCUUUUGGAUUUCGAUACUGUAGUAUUUUUGUUUGUAUUUGACAAAUAUUAUCUAAUUAUGGACUAACUAGGUUCAAAAGAUUCAUCUCGUGAUUUAUAGGCAAACUGCGCAAUUAGUUUUUGUUUUCAUCUAUAUUUAAUACUUCAUGCAUGUGCCGCAAGAUUCGAUGUGACAGGGAAUCUUGAAAAGUUUUUUUUUGGGUGAACUAAACAAGGCCUUAGCAAUGGAAAAACAAUACCUUUAUCUGGUGUUCAUUGGAUACCAGGAGUUUUAGGUCUUGUUUAGUUCCAAUUUUAUUUUGCAAAAUAGGUACUGUAGCAUUUUCGUUUGUAUUUGACAAAUAUUGUCCAACUAUGGACUAAGUAGACUCAAAAAAACGUCUCGCAAAUUGUGGGUGAAUUGUGUAAUUAGUUUUUAUUUUCAUCUAUAUUUAAUGCUCCAUGCAUACGUCUAAAGAUUCGGUGUGACGAAGAAUAGGUGUGAUGAAGAAUGUGAAAUUUUUUGCCAUUUUUUGAACUAAACAAGGCCUUACAACAAUUUGCCCAACCAAUCGUACCACUACCACAAGAUUUGAAGGUGGAUUUACUAAUUGAUGAAGGACAACGACAAUAGAAGGAGGAGUUAGUCAAGGCAUGCUACUCGGAGGAUACUGCCACGCGAUACUAAAAAUUAAUUCCUCUAAGUUUUAAUAUGCGUGAAGACUUCCUAGCUUGGGAAACACCACAGAAGGUACUUUCACUGUUAAAUCAGCAUAAAUGUUGCCAAAAUCUAAAAAAAAAAUCAUUUGUUUUCCAGCACUACUGGCAAGGGAGGAACAUCCAAUUUUCACCAAGUCACUUUUGACUGGAAACGCAUUUGGGAUAUACAUGCCCCUGAGAAAUUAAAGUAGUCUUGUGGAGGUUGGCUCAUGAUUAUUGUUUACCUACAGCAUGCCAAUCCGUAGCAGAAAUAUGGCGCGAAAUGAAGAAAUGGUGUUGUAUAAAAUUCAUACCAUUUAUUUCUCUUGCAAAGCAGUAGUCAUGUGAAAGGAUCAAGAUGCCCAAGAGGGGGGUGAAUUGGGCUUCUCUAAAAAUUUAAGCAACCUAUAAGCUCCAAUUCAACCUCUUCUGCCUAGUGUGACUAGAGAGCUACCGGAUAAAAGUUUUGCAACCUAGUUCCAAUCCUAUUCUAGCAUGGCAAUUCUAAGAAUGUAAAAACACAAAGUAAAUACUAGAAUGUAAAGGAGUAGUGGAAGAAAGUGCUCGGUGUUGUUUUGCCGAGAUAUCGGAGAGUCGCCACUCUCCACUAGUCCUCGUUGGAGCACCCGCGCAAGGGUCUUGCUCCCCCUUGGUCCGUGCAAGGACCAAGUGCUCUCUACGGGCUGAUUCUUCGACACUCCGUCACGGUGAAUCGCCCAAAACCGCUCACAAUCUUGACAUGAGCCACCCACAAGAACUUCGGGCGGUCUUCGUGCCUCCAUUCACCACCAAACCGUCUAGGUGAUGGCGAUCACCGAGAGUAACAAGCAAAGAACUCUCACUUGACCCAAACAAGGCACUAGAGAGUGGUGGAUGCACACUUGACUCUUGAAAUUCACUAGAGAAGGAUUCUCACAAGAAAUCACUCAAAUCACAAUCCUCUCUAGGCUCUUGCUACUCUCUUGCUCCACAACAAGUUUCUCAGAUGUUCAAAUGGGCAAGAGACGUCUCAUGGAUGAGGUGGAGGAGUAUAAAUACACCCCACGAAGUCCAAAGGUCAGCCAACCGUUUUCCACUGAAAACAGGGUCACCGGACGCUGUUGAUGUUGCACCGGACGCUCUGCACCGAUCGUCCGGUGACACCCAAUGGCUAACUGUACCUGCGUCUGACAGGUCACCGGACGCUACUCCCCAGCGUUCGGUGGCACCGUCCGGUGCUCCGGGGAGUUUUACAAACUCCCUGAGUUUAGGACCGGACGCUACCCGGUGCGUCCGGUGCUAGCGUCCGGUGCUCGGGGCAGGUUUGCAACCUCCCUGGGUAUGGGACCGGACGCUGCCCGGUGAGUCCGGUGCCAGCAUCCAGUGCCUAACCCUAAGCACCGAAGCCCUCCAACGGCUAAGGACCUCACCGGACGGACUCACAGAGUGUCCGGUGUAGCGGCCGGUGCCUACUUAGGCACCCUAACUUCGUCGAAACGCGAUCAUUCCAACACGAAGUUGGUUCCUGUCGAUCUAAGGACUAUCUCCGAGCUGCCUAGUGCUAGGUUUACCAAGUGUGCACCACACUAAACCUAAAGCCUUGCCUAAGUCAAGCUACUAGAUCAAAGCCCCUCUUAUUUGUACGGUCAAAGGAAAACAAAGUCCUAAGCUACUCUAAGUGCCAUUCUUCACCAUAUGGCACUUAGACCUAGUCUAGUCUUGACGAUAUCCAUCCAUCCUUUGAAAACUGAAACGAUUUCCACUAUUAAGUAGGCAUGCACAUCCCUGUUCAUCGAGUACCUAUUACCAUGACCUCACUAAUGACUUUGCCUCUGCAAAACUCACGUUAGUCAUAGUAAUCAACAUUGUCAUUAAUCACCGAAACCAUUAGGGGCCUAGAUGCUCUUUCAAUCUCCCCCUUUUUGGUGAUUGAUGACAAUAACCUUGAGUAUGAAAGGAAAUGAGGUUUUCAAAUGACUUGGUUUCUAUAAGCAUGAUAUAAUAAGAGCAAACGGAUUAGGCAUGCUUAUAUCAACCAAGUCUACCAUCCUGCAUCCAAAUAUGUGAGAUGUGUACAACAGGAUAUAAACACAAAUGGCUCAUAGUACACCGUAGUAAAACGCGGAAGCAAAGUAAUAUGAGCCAAAACACAUGACAUAAAGAUAUCACAAAAGAGCAUAAGUCAUGUCUCACAGCCAUAAAAAGUAUCUCACUAGAGUACCUCACACAAAUGCGAUGCAUAAAUGUAAACAUGAUGCAUGUUGGAGUAGCACACAAAGUAUAUCAAAAGAAUAAAAGCCCUCUCUAGCUCUAGCUCCCCCUAACUCUCAUACUCACUACCCUCUCCCCCUUUGGCAUCAAGCGCCAAAAACAUAAGAAGACGGAGGUGGAGGCGAAGCAGUGGAGUCCCUCGGCACGGCCUAAAAGCGAGCUGCAUUGCCUGAUUCAUCGACCGUCGAGUCGGAGGAGAUAGAGUGACCCUCUGAAGCUGCACGUGCUGGCAAAGCGGUCUGGGUCGGCUCUGCGGGCUCUGAAGCUGUCACUGGCUGAGGGGGCUGCUCAAGACCUGCUGACGAUGCUAGCACGGACUCGGUCGCUGUAGCUGACGUCUCUGACACAGUGGAGGAAGGUGCAAGCUGCUCAAAUGAAGCUACUGACGACGACAGGCGCUCGGUGGUGGUAACUAGGACCGUAAAAGCUACAGAAGCCUGCAGGGGUGGAGGCGUUGGGUCACCAGUCACAGCACUAUACAAGAAACUGAUAUGCUGGUCUGCCGACGAGUCCAACACGAGAUGUUGUCGCUGACUGCGGAGUAAAUCCUGAGCAUAACGGUGUGAACUGAGCUACCUGCUCAAAGCCAGACGAGAUAGCACCCUGAGAAACCUGGUGUUGUGGCGUCGAAAAUGGCUGACUCUGAGUCGGGAGCUGAAGCGGCUGCUGAGUCUGACUCUGAGGCGCUGGGGUAGAAGGCCUGACCGACGAUGUGCCUGGGAGCUGAAUCUGUGGAAGCUGAAUCCCAGAGGCGGCCAUAAGAGCGGCCAUCAUCGCUGUCUGCUAAGCCUGGAACGCAAGCUGCUGCUCCUGGAAGGUCAGAACCUAUCUCUGAAGCUCGUCCUGCCUAGCCUGCAUGGCUGCAUUGAUGGCAGCCUGGUCCCUGUCUCUCCUCGCACGCUCCUCAGCUGCCCGCCGCUGAUCGGCUCUCAUCCCCUCUAGAAUAGCAAGCAGAGCGGGGUCUGAAGCACUCGAGGAGCCUCCUGCCUCGUGGUCGUGCGGCCUAGGAGGUAGGUCUGGUACUAGAAGACGAUAAUCAUCGUCUGAGCUAUCCAAAGCAAAGUCAAACUCCUCCUCGGCCUCUGCAUCUACAAACGCCCCAAUGGUGAUAUCCUGCUCCUCCUCAGUCUCUGGAACUGCUCCUGAGCUGCGAGUGCCCCUGGGAGAGGGUGGUGGCAUCUGGCCACAUGGUGCACGAGGAGGUGGUGGAGCUCUGAGGUCAUGGUGUGCUCUCAGCAUCUGUCGGGGGUUGUAGUGGGGAAACACCGUGUCUGAGUCUGAAAGGAGUCUUCGAGAUGAGGUGGGCUACCAAACACUGCUGGAUCCUAGUGAAGCCGUCUCUGUAGCCUGUCCUGGGAAAGAGCAUCUUCCUCAACAUGAAGUCAAGGAUCCUGGCUGGGCGUGUCAAAUCUCCCACUGUCCUGCUAGAGCCCUCUCCAAAAGGCUGACGAAAACAGGGAGCCACAAAGUCAACCGGUGGUAGCUCACCACCGUGAGGAGGAUGAGGGGGCUCGAAGUUCCCGUAGCACAGCUGGUGAAUCCUAGUGGAGUAGGCUCUCAAACCAAGGACCUCUCUGGCACUCUGAGCUGUCACCCUGUAGUCAAUGCCUGCUAGUGCGUAAUGGAUAUAGCUGUGAUCUGGUGAAACCCACACUGAGGCAUAGAACUCUCUUACUCACUCCUCACAAUAAGUACAAGGGAGAGCAAGUAACUCUGGGAGACCGUGGAGAUAGGUGAAAUACUGUCUGAUGUCCACACCGACCAUGUUCCCGAGUAUCUCAAGGUCGAGCACCCUAUGCUCUCUGAACUGAGCCUGUGAACGAACCAGAGCCUUGUACAUAUCCUCCUGAACGACUGUAUAGAACCUGGCACUGGCUCUCGGAUCCCUAGCAGCUGGAAACCAAGUGGGAAAAGGAACAAAACAUAGCCCCUGGAUCUCACGAGCUAAAACCUGAGUGUAGUCCUUGUGAAUCCUCACUGGUGCCUGAUGUGGAGCUAGAGUGCCUCUAUCUGGAGUAGAGCGAGCAGCAGAGGUAGACUGACCCUGCGUACCAGUCCUGGGGAUGGCCUGAGUACGAGCAUGAGUCGACCUCCUGAGGGGCUGCUCCAGCUGCUAAGCCUCUGCCGGGCCCUCUGCCAGGGCCUCUGCCUUUGUAUCCGUGUCCAGGUCCUCCUGAUCUGGAUCUCUAACCGCAAUCCUGACACGCUGACCUUCUAGCAUGAUGGUGCCAGGAGGGGAUCCAUGGAGUGCCUCUGCCUCUAGAACUGCACGCCUCUGACGUGGCGUGAGAUCGGCCCCAAUCCUCAGGGCACCUGAACGACCACCCCUCUCUGCUGCCUCAGCCGCUGCUGCAACUGCCUCUACCACCUCUGACUCUCUAUCGCUGGCCUUCCUCUUCUUGGUGGCUAACUUCUUUCCCUUGCCCUUCUCUGCAGCUGACAGGCGACGGGGAGGGUCACCUCCACCAUCACCUCCUAGAGAACCACCAGCGCUGGCUGCCGGACCACUGAUGUUCUUGCAACGAGCCAUCGCAAGAACAACUGCUGACAACUGACAAACUGUCACGAGAGAUCAACGCGCUGCAAGAGAAGGAUAGAUAAGAUAUAUAAGCAAACAUAAUAGCUAGAGGUGAGAAAACUCUAUAGAUCGCAAGAUUAGAUAAGGAACGGGCACGAACGGCUUACGAUCGAGCGUCGAGAUGCGUUCCGGACUAAAGAUCGCGAUCGAGAACCACCGGAGAACGCAAAACCACUCCUCAAGGUGCGACAAAGACAAAACGAACGAGGACGUCGUCAAAAACAACAUCUCAACUCAUUUAGACAAUGAAUCGAACAUCUUAAGGGCGCUGCUUAGGAAGCUCACCCUAGAAACCAAACACCACGUAAGAAGUGGGCUCCUGAGCGUGGGGAGGAAGAGGGAGGCUCUGAGGACGAGAUCUGCACGGUGGAGAAGAAGUUCGUCGGAGAUCUUGGGGUAACUCGACGCGGCGACGGCGGAUAUGGCGAGUUAGGGCAUGGGGCGGCUGGUCUGUUCGAGCGGAGAAAGAAAACUGUCCGCAAAAAGGCCCCUCGGUGCAGGUUAUAUCCGCCCGAAAUGGGGUCACCGGAUGCUCUUAAUGUGGCACCGGACACGUCCGGUGACCACCGGACUAAAACGUAGGGAGGUUUUCAAACGCUGGACCACCGCACGAUGGCCACCGGACGCUGGCCUUAGCGUCCGUGCCCUAGGGCACGCCUGGAGAGCACCGGACGCACCUCACCGGACGCUGCAGGGACACUGUUUCUGCGUCCGGUGAGUGCUGUCCAGCGGACUCACCACACCGGAUGCACCGAGACAGCGUCCGGUGUAUCGUCCGGUGCACCUCGGGGUGCUUUUUCAACUUAGCACCUCGACCGACUUUGACCCAACCAAGUUCCAACUUCAAAGAGACACAAAUAAACGCCAAGUGGAACUGGUAUGAGUGACUUCUCUCAAACCCUCAAGUUUUUCACAAAUACUUAGCCUUAGGCAUAGUAAUUUUUAUGAAAAUAGUCAAGUGAAAACACCGAGGAGCAUCGUAUGGCCAUAAAACUAGGGGUUUAAAUCGUAAUGAGCUUUGAAUGCUCCCCCUAUCUAUGGACGAACACAGCGGAUGAUCAAAGAAUAACCAAAAAAAAACGAUCAACUAACAAGCAUGCAUAUGAUAUGAGUUGAAAUGCAAUACUUGAAAGUAAACUAAUUCUUGUCAAGUUUGAUCCAAGGUUAAGCUUUUUCACACAUACAAGGGGGUAUCUUAACCAUGUUAGACAAGCCCUACACACAAUCUUUUUGAGUUUUUAGUUUUGGUAUGCAUGAUAUGCAAAACAAAAGCUAUUUACAAGUUUGAACACACAACUUCAUUUUUUAGUGAAGUUAGAGAGAUCAAGCACAUUAAGUUCAUUUCUCAACAUACAAAACCUAGCUUCAUCUAGGGGUUUUGUGAAGAUAUCCACCAAUUGAUUUUUCGUUCCCACAUUCUCUACAGAUAUGUCACCUUUAGCAACAUGAUCCGUAAGGAAGUGGUGGCGGAUGUCAAUAAGUUUUGUGCGGAUGUGUUGAACCGGGUUGUUCGCAAGUUUUACUGCACUUUCGUUGUCACACAACAAAGGUACUUUGUCUAGUACUAUUUCAUAGUCUAGCAAAGUUUGUUUCAUGUAGAGUAUUUGUGCACAACAAGCACCGGCGGCAAUGUAUUCCGCCUCGGCCGUUGACAAAGCAACACUAUUUUGUUUCUUUGACAUCCAAGAGACAAGUGAUCUACCUAGGAAGUGGCACCCUCUGGAUGUGCUUUUUCUAUCAAUCCGGCACCCGACAUAAUCCGAAUCGGAAUAGCCUACAAGUUGGAAUCUUGCACCUUUGGGAUACCACAAACCUAGGCAAGGUGUGUAUUUUAGAUACCUAAGAAUUCUCUUGACGGCAAUCAAGUGAGAUUCCAUAGGCAUUGCUUGAUAUCUAGCACACAUACACACACUAAACAUGAUAUCAGGCCUAGAUGCGGUGAGGUAGAGUAGACUUCCUAUCAUGGAACGAUAGAGAGUCUUGUCAAUUGGGUUACCUCCCUCAUCCAAGUCGAGAUGCCCAUUUGAUGCCAUGGGAGUCUUGAUUGGCUUGCAAUCCAUCAUCUUGAACCUCUUGAGAAUAUCUUGUGUGUACUUCUCUUGAGAGAUGAAGACUCCUUCCUUCAUUUGCUUGACUUGAAAUCCUAGGAAGAAGGAUAGCUCGCCAAUCAUGGACAUCUCAAACUCCUUGGACAUCAAAUCACCAAAUUCCUUGCAAAAUAUUCAUUAGUAGAGCCAAAGAUAAUAUCAUCAACAUAAACUUGGCAAAUGAAGAUUUCCCCAUUCAUUUUCUUGGUGAAGAGAGUUGUGUCAACUUUCCCAAUCUUGAAGCCCUUCUCAAUGAGGAAGUCCCUAAGCCUCUCAUACCAAGCCCUAGGAGCUUGCUUGAGACCAUAGAGAGCCUUGGACAACCGGUAGACAUGCUUGGGGUACCUAGGGUCUUCAAAACCGCGGGGUUGCUCAACAUAGACAAGCUCAUUAAUAUAACCAUUUAAAAAAGCACUUUUCACAUCCAUUUGAAAUAAGUUGAUAUCUUGACUAGAUGCAUAUGCAAGUAGGAUACAGAUUGCUUUAAGUCUUGCCACCGGUGCAAAGGUUUCACCGAAGUCAAGACCUUCCACUUGUGAAAAGCCUUUUGCCACGAGCCUUGCCUUGUUGCGCACCACUUUGCCUUGAUCAUCCUUCUUGUUCUAGAAGACCCACUUUGUUCCAAUCACUCUUGCAUCUUUGGGUCGCUCUUCAAGUGUCCACACUUGGUUGCGAGAGAAGUUAUUCAACUCCUCUUGCAUGGCAAUGAUCCAAUCCGCAUCACGAGGAGCUUCCUCUAUAGUCUUUGGUUCAUCUUCAAGAGACACAAAAGCGUGAUGUUCAAUAAAUAAAGCAUGUCUAGAACGUGUAGUUACACCAUGUGAUGGACUCCCGAUGAUGAGAUCUUGAGAGUGAUCUUGAAGGAGAUGUGAUGAUCUUCUUGGCGCCACUUGAGGGGUUGGUUGGGGAGCAUCAACAUCUUGUGCUUGUGCCACCGCUUGCUCAUGAGUGACUUGGGUGUCUUCAUGAGCAUCUCUCACAUCCUUGUCUUCAUCUUGUGGUACAUGUGAGGUGGAUGGUGGCUCAAUGACUUGCACAUCAUCAUCUUCUUUAGGCUUGAUGUCUCCCACCGACAUGUUCUUCAUGGCAUCCCUCAAUGGUUCACCACCUACAUCAUCAAGAUUAUCACUUGCUCCUUGGGAGCCAUUAGUUUCAUCAAAUUCAACAUCAAAUGUUUCUUCAACCAUGUUUGUGGCAUGGUUAAAGACCCUAUAUGCCUUGUACUUUGAUGAAUAGCCAACCAAGUAGCCAAUGUCACAUCUUCUUUGGAACUUGCCCAAGUGUUGGCGCUUCUUAUAGAUGUAGCACUUGCAACUAAACACUCUAAAGAAUGAGACAUCGGGCUUCUUCCCAUUGAGCAACUCAUAUGGUGUCUUCUCUAGGAACUUGUGAGGAAAAAGCCAGUUUGAUGCAUAGCAUGCGGUGUUGAUUGCCUCGGCCCACAUCUUCUCCGAAGUGUUGUACUCAUCUAGCAUUGUUCUUGCCAAGGUGAUCAAUGUCUAGUUCUUUCUUUCUACAACCCCAUUUUGUUGUGGUGUGUAUGUUGAGGAGAACUCAUGUUUGAUUCCCACUUCAUCACAAUACUCUUCAAUGUUGGUGUUGUCAAACUCUUUGCCAUUGUCACUUCUAAUUUUCUUGAUCUUGACAUCAAAUUGAUUUUGGGCAUUCUUAGCAAACUUUUUGAAUAUGGAUGCAACUUCGGCAUUGUCUUGCAAGAAGAAUGUCCAAGUAUACCGGGAGAAAUCAUCAACUAUGACCAAGCAAUAUUUGUUGCCUCCAAGACUAGCAUAUGUGGUUGGUCCAAAUAAAUCCAUGUGGAGUAGCUCAAGCACUCUUGAAGUAGAGAGAUAAGCCUUGGUUGGAUGAGUGUUUGCAACUUGGUUGCCGGCUUGACAUGCACUACAAAGCUUGUCUUUUUCAAAUGUCACAUCCUUCAAGCCUCUAUCAAUUGUUUCUUCAUCAACUUCUUGAGUGUGCCCAUUCCAACAUGUGCUAACCUUCUAUGCCACAACCAACCAAAUGAGGUCCUGGUGAAUAAACAAGUCUUGACAUCAAAUUCAUCGGAUGAGAAAUCAACUACAUAUAAGUUGUUGUGUUGGAAACCUUUGAAUACCAUUUCAUUGUCAUCCUCCUUGGUCACUAUUACUUCUUUCUUCUUGAAUAAGCAUUCAAAACCAAGAUCACAAAGUUGUCCAACCGAGGGCAAGUUGAAACUCAAUGAUUGCACAUAUAGCACAUUGGUGAUGGAGUUGUCAUUUGAUAUAGCAACCUUUCCUAAUCCCAUGACCUUGCCUUUUGAAUUGUCACCAAAUGUGAUCUUCUCUUGGUUGUCAACAUCUUUAUCAAGUGAAGUGAACAUCCGGGGAUCUCCGGUCAUAUGUUGAGUGCAACCACUAUCAAUUACCCAAUGUGAUCCACCGGUCUUGUAGUUCACCUACACACAAGAGAUCAAGCUUGAGAUUUAGGGACCCACAUUUGCUUAGGGCCCUUGACCUUCUCUACUAGUUGCUUUGGCACCCAAAUCUUCUUUGGCCUUUGCUUGUUGGGCGGCCCCAUGAAGCUAACCUUGACCUUGCCACUCUUGUCUUUCCUUACAAUGUAGUGAGCAUUGAAGGCAACUGGUAUAGCAUGCUUGGGCAAGGGUGGUGGUAGUGGUGCCUUACACUCAUGAGCAAAAUGUCCUUCUUGACCACACUCAAAGCAUCUCUUUGGCUUUGGCUUGCUUGGUUGAUCAUGAGUGGCUAGAGACUUGAUGAGCUUUGUUUGAUGAGCCUUGUAGCCAAUUCCACUCUUGUCCAUCUUCAUGACGAUGUUCAUGAAAAGCUCACUUUGAAGGUCCUUCCCUUUUGUGAACUUUGCUAACCCCUUGGUUAGAUGUUCCUUUUCUUUCUUGAGCUUGCUAUUCUCUUGAGUUAGCUUCUUGAUGAUUGGGUCAUUGUUGCUAGCUAACUCAUCCAAGAUGAAUGUCUCAUCUUCUUCUUGCUUGUCAUACAUCAAACCAAGCUUAAGAUAUUGAUUUUCUUCCUUGAGCAACUUGUUCUCAUAUGCAAGCUUCUUGUCUUGAUCAAGUGACUCAUUCACAAUGGUCUUGUGCUUGGCUUGCUCUUGCAACUCGUUCUUGAGCAUGACAAUUUCUUCCUUGAGCUUGAUAGUGUCCUCAUAGCUCUCGGCCACUAUCACUUUCUUGCCCUUGCAAUCAACGCAUUUGCUUGUGCUCUCCACAAGUAAGUCAUCACAAGAUGUGUCUACAUCAAGCUUAGCAACAUGGUUAGUAGCAACAUGUGUUUCAUCAAUUGCACGUUCAUAAGCUAUCUCAAGGUUGUCAUAGUUUGCUUUUAGAGUUGUUAGCUCUUCUUUCAUUGCUCUAUAUCUAGUGAUAAGCUCAUCAUGAACACUCUCAAGUUUAUCAUGUUUCUCUUUGAGCUCUUUUAAAGAGAGUUUGAGCUCCUUAAGUUUAGCGGUCACGAUCUCAUUUUGAUCUCUAAGCUCAUCACUAGAUUUAAGCUUUGCUAGAAGUGUUUCAUUUUCAAGUUCAAGCUUCUCAUUAUCACUUCUAGAUUUUCUUAUGACUUUUGUAUAUUUAUUUAGCAAUUUUACAAGUUCAUCAUAAGAGGGUGAUUCAUAUUCACUAUCACUCUCACUACUCUCAUCCUCAUUUUGUACCUUCCGGUCACCUUUAGCCAUGAGGCAUAGGUGUGUACAGGAUGUAGAUGGUGGUGAAAAUGAUGGUGAUGAAGCAUCAAUGGCAAUGGCGGGAACCUUCUCAUUAUCACUCUCAUUACCGGAGGAGUCACCACUUGAGCUCUCAAUGUCGGUGAGCCAAUCACCAACAAUGUAAGCCUUGCCAUUCUUCUUCUUGUAGUGCUCCUUCUUCUUGCCACCUUUCUUCUUGUAUGGCUUCUUUUCAUCAUCACUUGAAUUAUCUUGCUCUUUGUUCUUCUUCUUGUACUUGUCCUUCUUGGGCUUUGGACACUGAUGAGCAAGUUCACCACAAUUGUAUCAAUCCAUCUCAGAGAUGGGCUUUCUCUUGCUACUUGUGAAGAACUUCUUCUUCUUGAAGUCAAAGUUGACUCCAAUCUUGUUGAGCUUCUUCAACAUCUUGGUGGUCCUUCUCACCAAGAGGGCAAUGGAUGCAUCAUCAUCACUUGAAGUUGAUGACUCAACUUCAAUCUUCUUGGCUUUGCCCUUGAGAGAAGCUUUGAGGGCCAAGUCCUUCUUCUCCUUCUUGGUCGAUGAGGAGCCAUCUUGGGGAUUCAUGUGCAUAUACAUCUCAUGAGCAUUUAUCUUCCCCAAUAUGGCGGUUGGUGUAGCGGUGGAGAGAUCACAUUGAUGAAGUACCGUUAUUAUGUGCCCAUAUUUCUCAUUGGGAAGCACACAUAGUAUCUUCCUUGCGACAUCCGCCGCACUCAUUUGAGUGAGCCCAAGUCCAUUAAGCUCCUCUACAAUCACAUUCAAGCGAGAAUAUAUUUCAUUAUCAUUUUCUUUGGGAAGCAUUUCAAAUGUAUUAAGCUUGUUCAUCACUAAGUGAUAGUGUUCCUCGCGUUCACUCUUUGAUCCCUCAUGGAGCGCAUAAAGUUCCUUCCAUAGAGCAUGUGCGGUUUUGUGGCUCCGAACGCGGUUGAACACCUCUUUGCAAAGGCCUCUAAAGAUGUGUUUUUUGGCCUUCGCAUUCCACUUUUCAUUUUCUUGUUCUUGUGGAGUAAGAACGACGUCUUUUGCCAGAGGGGUAAACCCUUCGGUCGCGGCUUUUAGGCACUUUGAGUCACAUGCCUCAAGGUAUGACUCCAUCCGUAUUUUACAAUACGGGAAGUCAUCCCCAUUGAACAUGUGUGGCGGUCCAUCCCCGUUAGACAUCUUUCUCUAGGUGGUGAAGCCUAAAUAAUGAGCACUGUUGACGGUCCUUAAGUACUAAAAUUAAUAAUCAAAUAAACAUGGAAAAGGAUCAAUAUGACACAAACAUCUAGAAUUAGGGUUUUAUCUGACAGAAUUCCACGAGCUUUGGUGUUUAUCUAUUUCUGCAGGGGGUUAUCAGAGAAUAUGGAGAGAAGGCCCACAUGUCAUGUUUACAACGAGAUAAUUACGUGCUGUGCAAUUUUCUUCAAUCUAGAAGAGUCCAGAAGCCGCGGGAACGAACGAGAGCACGAUCGUGCUCGGGGGCAGGGCGCCCGCCCAGGGUUGGAGUCUAAUCGGGACUCUGCUUUAGGGCUAAACUCCACCGACCUAAAGGAUCAAUCUAAACCAUACAAUCUAUGUCGGUUUGAUCUGACGGCCCAAAUUCACUUGAAAGGACUAUAAAACCAAGGCCUCUCCCCCCUGGAGGAGAGAGGAGAAGAGAAGAAAUCAUUAUUCAGAGGUAGCCAUCAAAGUUAGGGUUUAGAGCUUCUCUCCCACAGAGAAUUAGAAUUACCUACUCCCCAAUCCUUCAAGUUUAGAGGUUUGAUUAGAUAGCAAUUAGAGAAGUAGAGCACUACGCUCUGGAUUCGGAUCUUCGGUAAUAAAGAUUGGUAUUAUUCAUAUCUUUCUCUAAUUCUUUGUUCUAAUUGCAUUAUGUCUCUAAUUAUUAGGUUCUUAGUUUGCUCUAGUUCUAUAUUUGAUAUAGUUCUAAUUGAUAAUGAGUUUAUGUAUAAGUUUGCAAAGCGCUUAGCUCUUGACGCAAGGGAGUUAAGUGGUAGAUCACAUGUGGGCGUGGUGCUUAGAUGUUAUUUACCUGCAAAUGUAUCCUAUUGGCCGGGUCGUGUGGUAGUUUGCGAUAGUGACAGCUUCGUUGAUUCUUAUAUAGUCCACCCUCCGUUGAUAGGACAGGCAGAACCGGUAUUGUGGAGUAAGUCGUGCGAUGCUCUGAUUUACUUCAUCAAUGUUCCUUAUACAUGAAUGAAGAGUCUUUUAUGCUAUAUAUGAUCUUGUAGAUAACUAGAGUAGAUUAUGACUUAGUAGUUAGUAGAUAACUUAGAAUCCAUUCUCUAGCUAAUCCGAUAUCACCUACAUAUAUGAGGAGUAGUCUAUUUUCUAAUCGCUGUGUUAUUUAUCCCUUGAACUUAUAAUUCAUUAUCAUUAUCUUUAUGGUUUCCCCCCUGCUUAAGUAUGUGACUGUGUGACGAGUUUCUCAUUAGUAAUCAUGUUCUUGCAAGUUUAUCUCUAGUCUAUGCCUUGAUAGAUUUUGCCCUUAUUUUAAUCUCCUUAGUUCUCUCGAGCAAAAUUAUAAAUAACAAUACCUGGAAUACUUAUCCUGGUGAAAUGCUACAAUGAGGUGUUUUAUCUGUGCGCUUGCGGAUAGAAUAGAUUAUUUUCUAGAAAGCCUUUACAUUUAUAAAUACCUUUGUACACUCUGGCACUAUGCUGGGGAUGACAACCUAGUAUCUAAGUGGUGUUAGCUAGUGUCAACAAGCAUUUCUGGCGCCGUUGCCGGGGAGUCUCAUGAAUAAGUCAUAAAGGGGAACAAAAGGGUAAUACUUAGGAACGGUAAGGAAAGCCAGAAAAUCAGUCAAGGUUAUUCAUAUAAAAUAUUAGACUAGACUAUAGAGAAAUAAUUGCAUAAAAACAGCUACUAAGUGAGAAAUCAUAACAAGGCACCUCUACUUUGGCAGGUUCACCCUGUUGUUUUUCUAUGUUUAUAUUUUUAUACAGGGUAUAUCAGGAUUGACUUUGGGUACAUUCAACUCUUCAUCAUCAGAACCAAAGCAAUCAAGAGAACAAGAAGCUAGCUACCAAUUGCUGAAGCUAUGGCACAGAAGACCCUACAAGAAUUAUCUGCUCCAAGCCUUGAGAACAUUCCAACUGGUCCAAGAUUUGCAGUAGAAGAAGGAGUACCCGAGUUUGAGCUCAAGUCAAGCCUCAUCAAUUUGGUGCAAGCUACACAAUUCAGUGGAAAGGCGCAUGAAGAUGCUAGUACACACUUGCAGAAUUUCUUAGAGAUUGGAAGCACAAUCCACAUCAACGGAGUUGACAAAGACGUCAUACUGCUUCGCCUUUUUCCAUUCUCACUAGAAGGGAAAGCGAGGAAGUGGUUCUACACUCAUCAAGAUAACAUCAACAACUGGACAAACUUGUCAGAUGCCUUUCUAUCAAAGUUUUUCCCUAUAGGCAAAACAACUGCCUUAAGAGGAAAUAUUGUCAGUUUCCAACAACAGAAGACAGAAGCCAUUUCAGAAGCAUGGGAGUGUUUUCAAAGAUACAUAUCAGACUGUCCUCACCAUGGAAUGGCCACAUGGUUACUUAUGCAGACCUUCUACCAUGGAUUAACCCAGAAGGCUCGUGAGUGCCUAGAUGCAUCUGCUAAAGGAUCAUUCUUGGAGCUUACAAUUGGAAAAGCAGAGAUACUUUUAGAUAAGAUAGCAGAAAACCAAAGCUGGUUCCAAGAUAAAACUCAACAAUGUCAUCAAACUGAAGAAAUACCAGAAGAAGUAAAUGCAUUAUCAACUAAAAUGGAAAAUUUGCUCCAUUGGAUUGACCAGAGGGCCAAGUUCAAAGAAGAUCAAAGGGCCAUUGAGACAACAUACAAAUAUCAACCAACUUCGGGUCAACCCAAUAGCAAAGGUAUGAAUUCAGGUAAUACUUUCAAGCAACUUUCAUUAAAAGAGAUAAUUGCUCAACAAACCAAAAUUAAUGAUGAAGUUAAACAAAGGCUAGAUACAAAUGAAUCAUCUCUAAAAGAUAUACACAAUAAAAUGGAUUUUCUACUAACUGCCUUUGGUGAGCAAAACACUCUUAAUAAAAGGGUAGAGCUUAAAUUAAUAAAGUUAGCUACUGCACUGCCUGUUGCUACUAACAUUGAGCAGGUAAAGAAUAUAACUACUAGAGGAGGCAAAACUACCAGAGAUCCCCCAUACCCAAAAGAGAAACAAAGAACAUCAGCACCAGUGCAACCAGUAGUGAUAGAAGAAGAAAGCCCAGUUGAAGCAGAAGAUCUGCUACAACCACCAAGAACUAGAGAAAUGAGGAAAGAUUUUUACGACACCAACUAUUUGCCAUUUCCCAGAAGAAACAGAGGACUGCAGUCGGAUGAGCAGUUUGGUAAGUUUGUAGAGGUCAUUCGGAAAUUAUAUGUCAACAUACCUCUGCUCGAUGCCAUACAGGUACCUACAUAUGCAAAGUACAUCAGAGAUAUUCUUAACAAGAAGAGACCACUGCCCACCACUGAGGUUAUCAAGCUGACAGAAGAAUGUAGUGCGGCCAUCCUCAAUAAGCCACCAAAGAAGAAGGAAGAUCCCGGAUGUCCCACUAUUGACUGCUUGAUCGGAAACCAACACUUCAACAAUGCACUUUGUGAUCUCGGAGCAAUUGUCAGUGUGAUGCCAGCAUCAGUCUACAAAAAGCUUGAGCAUGUGACCCUAGAACCAACAUCAAUGUGCCUACAACUAGCGGAUCAAUCGGUUCGACACCUGUUGGGCAUCGCCGAGAACAUUCCAGUCAAGAUCAGAGAUUUCCUGGUGCCAGUAGAUUUCAUAGUACUGGACAUGAGUCCUGACUCAAAAGUGUCCAUCAUCCUUGGAAGGCCAUUUCUGAGCACUACCAAUGCCCACAUUGAUGUCGGGAAGGGAGAAAUCAAGUUCAACAUAAACGGACAAGAAGAACACUUCACAUUCAAACCCAGACCAGAAAGAGACUCUACAGUGAAGAAAGUUCAUGAAGAACCACUGGAGACACCAUCUCCAGAGGAAGGUAACUCAGAAGAUUAAAAGAUUUGGAGGUCCAGCUUGGGGGACCUAAAAAUCCCAAACCCUCACCGGGAGGUAAAUCGGUAUUUAUCUGCAUCAUUAAUUCUUGCAUAAUUAAUUCUUGUAUUAGUUAUAUUUAUUCAUAGAAUUAUUAUAAUAAUAAAAAGCCCCAUAUAAAAUAAUAUUCAUAGUGUGUAACAACCCAUAUUUAUUAAUUAUUGUGGAGGCACAAAAAUAUUUUCCAUUAUCAUUUUAAUUUUCAAUUCUCAUAAAUUUUCCUGCAUUUUAUUAAUCUUCUAGAAGCAUGACCCACACUCCUUGGGUCCCACAUGUCAUACACCACACCUCACAUACAUCCCAUCACAUUAUUUCAUCCACCAACAUGUCUCCACUAACCAGCACUUUUCCACCAGCCAUCCACUACCCGUGAUGCAAUAUUUUGCUUAAAGAUUAAGCAAAGGAGAUAGUGGAGAGAGGGCAGCCAGGAUGGGCAUCACAAGUGGGCGCCCGCCCACCUACCAAGGGCGCCCGCCCUGCCCCUCUUCCUCCUAUAAAUAGCCACCUUCUACCUCCAUAUUCUUCACACAAACACUCCAGAAAACCACACAAGUUUCAGUUUCCCGAGAAGGAGCUCUUGCAGUGAAGAAAAGAGAGAGUAGAAAGAAAGAGAAGAGUGGGAAAGAAGUUGGUAGUUUGAGUGAGAGAGUGAGUUUCACCUAGUAAGUAGUGAUCCCGCUGUCCAAGCGGAAGUAAAAGUUGUUUAGGGGGAGGCUCUACCAAAAUAGAAACUUGUCUUGAACGAUUAACCCCUGGACUACUGACACUCCGGACAGCCGACCACUAACAUUUUCUCUCACAUUUUCCACUAGUUGUGUUUUGCCAACUUUUGUUUACAGGAUGUUUAAGAAGGUGAAGAAUGCAGGGAAGGCUCUCAAGAACAUUGGUACAAGGAGUUCAGCCCGACACUCCUCACAACCAUCAGAGAUGAGCGUCGACCCGACACCCACACAAGCUCCAUCAUCUUCAUCAAGUCAACAAGUCAAGGUCCUUCUCAAGAUAGGAGACCUUGGACUGAAGACCCGAAGAGAGAAUGAAGUCUAUCAGCAAUUGAAGAACAAAGAUUUCAUUCACACCCCUACUCUCGAUCCAAUCUUACUACAAGAAACAGGUAUGGACACUGAAUUUGUCUUAAUUUUCCAGAUGAUAGGUUGGACGAAUUUUUGGAAUAUAACUGAGCUGGGUUCUCGUCUUCUCACCCUCGAAUUUCUUUGCACUUUACAAUACUAUGAGGGGGAAUUGUUUUUCGGAUGUUCAAACAGGAGAUUAUGUUGUCUUGGAGAGAGCUGAGUGACCAUCUUGGUUUCUCUUCAAGAUGCAUCCUGAACAUUGACUCCGAUUUACCCAACUCUGAGAGACACUAGUUUUGGAGAGAAAUAUCUAGAGAUAAUUUUUAUAGUCAAGCCCGAACCAGUGACAUGGAACACCCCACUCUUAGGAUGUACCACAAAUGGCUUGGGUACAAUCUUUUCUAUCGUGAUGAUAUUAGGAAAGUAAGAGUAGGAGAUUUACAACUUUUAUAUGCUGCUAUUAAUAAAGUACCCACUUCACCUGUUACACUUUUAGUUUCUCAUUGGCUUAGUAUACCUAGUCUUCAGGGGCCAGUAGGAUGUACUUCACUUAUCACUCAUUUAGCCUUUAAUCUUCACUUACUAGAAAACUCAUCGCUGGACUUCAUAGAUGAGUUAAGAAUUUAUCAUGGCUAUGACACAUUUAGACAAGCUCAGAUGUUAAAGAAAGAGGGGAAUGUAAUGUAUAUUCUAUAUGAUGAUAAAGGCAAGAUUCAGUUACCUAACCCGAACCUUGGCCUCUACGUUGUUCAAAACUUUUUGAUUGAGAUUGCAGCAACACCAGUGAACCAGAGAACUCCACAGCGAGUGGCAUCUGAAAGGAUGACCACUCACCGAGAACGCAUCUGGUAUGGAGCUGACCCUGGACCAGAAGAAGCAGUGCACCUGCAUUAUUGCGAUUACAACCCCCGAGUCCUUCGAGACCCAUGGGUUCGACAUGCGCAACCACAAGAGCCAACAGAGGAGACAUGGCCGGAGAGCCAAGAUCACCAGUGGACAAACCCGCCUUUUCAUACGGGCAGGUACUCCACUGAUCCAUAUGGAGCUUCAGGAUCCAGAGCUCCACCCCAAUUUGAUGCAGGGCGAUACUCCGACGCCUCCUACGCUUUCACGAAUGACUACUACCAAGAGGCCGGUGUUUUCUUCACUCGUACCGACAACACCCUCCUCGACAUCCAGAACACGCAAGCAGAACAUGGAAGACUCCUGGAAGAGCAACAAAAAUGGAACCAGGACCAUGCCGCUGCGGUACAAGAGCUGAGACAAGAUACAAUAACAAUGAACGACAACAUCACAACCAUGAUGCGGUUCUGGAACAUCGGGUAAGACCGACAGCAACAUCCAGCUUGGGGGAGUUCCUCCCCAAUUUAUCAAGUAAGUUUUUAUUUGCUUUUCCUAUUUAUUCUUUUCUGUUUUAGUAUUUUAUCUUAAAAGGAAAAACUUAGAAAACUCAAUAAAUAUUUUCUUGCUUUAAUUUACUGCAUAUUAUAAACAUGAAAACAAAAUAAAAAGAGUGUGUAGAUAAGUGUGCUUUAUUUUCCUGCUAAGUUUAAUCUCUAGAAAUAUAAAAGACCAAAAAGAUAUAUGAUGGAAAUGAUGAACAAUUGCUCUGUUUGCUUACUUUCAAGUACCUAGCUUCUAUAUUAGAGUUCUUCCAGGAAUUACUAAAACUGAAAUUACUAUCUUUGGGAAGCAUAAAACUAAAGUCUAGGUAAGAGAAAGGCAUAAUAUAAAGUUUGAGCUGCUAUUUAUCUUGUUCCUACUACACUAAGUUCUAGAGAUUUAUUUUGAAAACUUACAAAUCACAUGAUGGGUUCCUAGCAUAACAAACUACCUACCACAGCCAUACUUGCUAUAACAUUUGUUACUAUAUUUACAUUGAGUUUGAUAGAGCUGUGUAGACCCUUAGGAGCUUUUCAUGUGGUUAAAUUAAGAUAUUCACUUGCACACAUCUACUACACCAUCCAUCACCAUUCAUUAAAAUUGCUAAAAAUAUUAUCACUCACUGUCCCAAAUAUUGUUAUUCUCUCUCUCUAGAAAGAUUCGAUGCAGAAGAGGCAUGGGUUAAAGAGGAGGAGAGAUAGCAAUAUGAGGAGCAAUGAGAACCAAGUUUUAUUAUUACUUAUACAUUUUUACCAUCACUAUCAUUUACUCCACGACACAUGCACAUCUUGAUUUAAUUAUAUGUUGAGUUCCUUUGGAUCCAUGGCUCGAUUAGACAACAUAUGUAUGAGCUGUUUUUCACUCCUAUGAGCUCCACUUAAAUAUUCCAUUAGCUAUAGGUAAGUGACAUUAUGGUAAGGAUCCACAAAUACCACAUAUGGAGAGACUUGAGAGAUUAUUGCUGGGAACUCUGAGUUUUAUUUUAAAAACUUAUAAAAAACUCUAGAAUAAAAGUGAAGUAUAAACAGGAGGAAUAGUGCCAAACUUAAUUAUUUUGUCUUUCGAUUACUUAAGACUUAAGUGCAGGUACUAAACUCCAUAAUACUUCACUCUAAUCUGGAUGAAUUUUUAUGUAAAAGCAUGUGUGCCUGUCAGGAAAGAAAACAUCGAAGCAACUCCUGAUCCGUCUGAGUUUAGCUAUUUGCUCAGGGACGAGCAAAGGGUAAGCUUGGGGGAGUUUGUUGACGGUCCUUAAGUACUAAAAUUAAUAAUCAAAUAAACAUGGAAAAGGAUCAAUAUGAAACAAACAUCUAGAAUUAGGGUUUUAUCUGACAGAAUUCCACGAGCUUUGGUGUUUAUCUAUUUCUGCAGGGGGUUAUCAGAGAAUACGGAGAGAAGGCUGUUGACACUUGCUAACACCACUUGAAUACUAGGUUGUCAUCCCCAGCAUGGCACUAGAGUGUACUAUGGUAUAUAUACGCACAUAGAUAAUCCGCAAGUGCACGGAUACCGUUGAAGCUUUUACCCGGUUAAAGGUUUUAUCGUAUCCACAGGGAAACGGGAGAACCAACUACGCUCUAACUUAACCAAGAUAGAUAGAUAGGUGUAAAUAGGAAAGAUGGUAGAAUUGAAUAAGAACAAUAUUAAAGGUAAGAUAACAAUGAGUGAUAAUAUGGGAAUAGAGAAUAGAGCAAUUCUAGUAUAUGGGCGAUGGUAGCAGAAUAGAGAGUAUAACUAUGGUUUCUCUACUUCAAAGGGGUAUGUCUAUGUCUGGGACGAACCACGUGAUAAGAGUACACCACAAAGGAUGCUUAUCCUUAGGCCGAUAAACCCUACCCGUCCUGCUAACGAGAGGUAGACUACAGAGGACCAACGUAACUGUCACCUACGCGGCCUACCACAUGAUCCAGCUAGACAGGGGAUAUCCACAAGUAAUCUAGGUCUAAGCACCACGCUUACACCUAACUACAACUCUCACCUAUAGUGUCCUAUAGAUUAAAGUACUCAAAAGAGUUGUGAACCAGAACAUACAUAAUUAGUAAUUGCAUAAUGAAUUAGAAGUAGAUUACCAGAGUCAUCCCAUGAGCAAGCUUGAUUAGAGCUUGAUCAUGACGAAGUACAACCGGAGGAAGAAUCGACAGGUCGGCCUCUCCUCUAAUCCUCCUUCGCUCUCCAUCUCGCUACUAUCUAGAUCUACUCUAGUUUAGAGAAGAGAGGAGAGCUCUCAUCUCUAAACUCUAGCUUUUGCUCUGUCUAUGAAUAAUGAAUAAUGAUUAAGGGGUGCCUCCUCCAGGGGCCAGGGGGUCUGGUUAUAUAGUCCCCUCAAGUGAACCUGGGCCGUCGGAUCAAACCGACAUUGAUUGAACGGUUAUUCUUGAUCCUUUAGGUCGGUGGACCUUGGUCCGCAAAGUUGGACGUGUUUGACUACAACUCCUCGGCGGGCGCCCAAGGGGAGUGGGCGGGCGCCCUGCCCCCGGGCCUGUUCGCCUUCCCGUUCGUUCCCGUGGCUUCUGGAGUCUUCUAGAUGACGUAAAAUUGCGCGGCACGUUAAUAUAUCUAUGUAAUCCCGACGUGUGGGCCUUGCUUCCAUAUUUCCUAAUAACCCCCUGCAGAAAUAGACAAACACCAAAACUCAUGGAGUUCUGUCAGAUAAAACCCUAAGUCUAGAUGAUGAUUUCAUUUGGAUCAUUUUCUUUUUUUAUUUGAUAAUUAAAUUUGAUACUUAAGGACCGUCAACAAACUCCCCAAGCUUACCUCUUGCUUGUCCCUGAGCAAGGAUAGACUCAGCAAUGGAUCAUAAGUUGUUGCAAUAUCUUAAAAUUUUGACGGUACACAUGCUUUUAAAUAAGAUCUCAUCUCUGAGUUUAGAGUAAACUGUCAAGAACUAAAACUUACUUACUUUAUCUUUCACCAUGGGACUUGUAACCGUCACUUCUGUCUUGAGUAGUUAAAAGAUAGAACAGUCUAGCCAAGUGCCAUGUCUCUUAUUCUUGAUCAGCUAUAGCUCUGGAGUUUUUUGCAGAUUUUCAAAUAAAACUCAGAGAUUCCUUGUAUGACUCUCUAAAUCUCUCUUUUGUGGUAUUUCUGGAUCCUUACCAAGGCAGUGAUGGUAUAUGCCUUCUCUCAAGAUAUGUGGUAUUUGUGGUAUAAGGCAUAGUGACAUUGCCUUCUCUCUCACCCUACACUAAUAAGGCUUUAAUAUCUAGAGCUCAUAGGUGGGAGACAACUAAUACAUACUUACAAGACAUUUAUUGCAUAGUCAAACCAUAGAUCUAGAGAAACAAGUCAAUAAGCCAAAUCAAGAUGUGCAUGUGUGGCGAAUGAAUGGUGUAUGGUGAUGAUGAUGAUAACAAUGGUGGAAGUCUAAUUCUACUUUUGCUCUUUUGAGGGGAUACAUACCUUCCUUGCUCUUUGAAACUUUAUGAGGAGAAUGAGGUGCUCUUCUUUUUCUUUCCUCUCAGGUGGGUAUCUUGUACCCCUAAUUCUACCGUCGGACACUUGUCCAUGACUUUUUCUUUCUUUCGAGGUUCCGGGCACUUGCCCCUUUUUAUUUCCUCGUUUUUUAUUUUUUUCCUUCUCUUUUCUCUCUUUUUUUUCUUUUUAGAGCACUCAUCUCUUGAGAUAAUAUAGCAAGUGGUAGUAGCAAGAUAACUUGAGCAUUUAUUUCACGAGGACAAAUAGAAAUAUUUUUGGUUAUUCUCUCCCAGAUUAGGAGUAGAAUAUUUUUGGGUGGUUCUGGAGAUGGAAAUGAGUGGAUAUAUGUGGAUGGUACUUCCAGAGUAGAAGUAGCAUAUAUGAGUGAAUGUGCAAGUGAAAUCUUGAUUUAACCACAUGACAAGCUCCUAAGGGUCUACACAGCUUGACCACACUCAAUGCUCAUAAGCAGUAAAUAGUAAAUGUGUGGCUCAAAGUCUAGCAAACAUGUAUAUAUGGCUGUGGUAGGAAUUUAAACUCUCAUCAUACAGGAACUCAUCAUGCAAUAUUUUAAAGAUUUUUAAAGAUAAAAUUCUCCAGAAUUCUAGCAUCUCUAGGAACAGAUAAACAGCAGCUCAACCUUCCCAUAUCAUAUCCGUUAACAACUUAGAUUUCAGAUCAAGUUUUCAUCCCACAAGUUUAGAUCUAGAGCAAGCUUUAAAUUAUAACAGUUAUGUCUAAACUUGAGAGAGAACUUCAAAUUUGCAAAUUAGGCAGAGCAACUAUUCAUCAUAUCCAUGCUAGAGUUUUAUUAUUAAGAUUCAGAUUAGCAUAGCCACUUUAUUUAUUUAUUAAACACAUUAAGCUAAAGAUAUAUAUAUAAGUACAAAAUCUUUAUUUGGUUUUUCAUAGUUUAUGUAUUUUAAUAUUCUAACAUAAUAUAAGUAUAAAGAUAGGUAGAAAUACUUAGCGAGAUAAAUGGGGGUGCUCUCCCUCAAGCUGAAUUUUGACGUAAUUUCUCUUGAUGUAGCUUGCAGGUGGCAGAGGUGUAUUUGAAAGUCAGCAGCAUUCUGACAGCGAUUAGAAUGUCCUCCGUCUGCUAGUCUUCUUGAUUCUUAAAUUCUGUGGAGCUCAAAUAGACAACAAAACUUGUGGAACUAAUUAAGUGUUAGCAUAAAUAUCUAGCCUUCAUCAUGUUGAGCUUCCUCAAUAAAUAUCACUCCCUGUUUUUAUAUUUAUAUUUUAUAAAGCAGAAAAUAAAUAUUUAUUUUAUUUUUAUGCCACCAGAGUGAAGGUACUUAUGGGUUUUAUGCCACUCGUAUACUCACAUGGGGCUUAGUAUUUUUUUUAACAUUUUAUUUUCUUUUCAAGAUAGCAUGAUUAACUAAUAAUCUAUUUAAGGAAAGUAAAUAAUUAAAGGGAAAAGGGAAUUCAGAAAGGAUAAAUAUGGAUAACUACCGAUCUUACCUUUCGGUGAGGGUUCAAUGUUUUAAGUCUUCUUAACAAGACUUCUCACCGUGUUCAUUCUUCAGGUGUGUCAUUUGAUUCAGAUGCGGACCUUGACGUCUGAACCUCUUCAUUUGCCCAGCAGUUCGAAGUGUGGCGUUGGUAGUAUCCUGCUCAGUGUGUUUGUGCUCGUAGAUCCAGGUCCUUCACUUGGUAGAGUCUGAGAGUUAUAAAACUCCUCCGUGUUUUGCUCGAAGUGUACCUGCUCAUAGAGACAAGGCAGAGAUCAAGUGCAUGGGUCCUGUUGGUGGAAAACACCAACAGAACCUAAAGUGUAUUUGUUCUUCUCUAACCCUAAGCAUAGUGAGCAAGACAAAGUUGAUGGAUGAAAAGUUCAUGAGUGUAGCACUUAUAACAUUUGUCAGAUCAGAUCGCUCAACCUUAUGGAAAGAUAAUCUAUCUAUGUAUAUGUCUUUUUCUUUAUAUCUCUCAAUGAUUGAAUGUGUAAGAUUUUAGCUCAUAUGAUUCGGUGUGGGAUCAUGGAGGUAGUACUAAGAACAAGGAUUAAAGGACUAAACCUGUUGAAUCAGUUGGGUUGGUUAAUCUAGAGUUGUAAAUCAUACAUGUUUGUCUCUUUUAUUUAUUUGAACGCCAGAACCAAGGAGAAGCUUAUAAAAGUGAUAGUCAAGUACCUUAAGAUGUUACCUUGCUUGAAGAGUCAUGGUACAGUAUCACCUUGUGGAAGCUUUCCUUUCUUAGCGGUUGUGCAUCGUGUUUGUGGCACCCUCCAUGGACCAUCUCUCUAUGAUGAAUGAGCUAUGUCCUUCUUGUGCAAAUUGUUAAACUUCAUGUGUCACUCUCUUCGUCUCUGAUGUGAGUUUAUCUCAGGACUUCCUUGUACUUGCUUGUCAUUCAUCUCUUCGUCUCUGAUGUGAGUUUAUCUCAGGACUUCCUUGUACUUGCUUGUCAUUCAUCUGAUCUUCUUGUUCAAAUCCUGGAAAGGUUAGUGGCAAGAAUACCCGAAGGAAUAUUUUUACAAUUAUCCUUAUAUGCUCAAUACACAAGGUAAUGUUGUAAAUAAUUAAAAACUCAUGUUACGAUCUGAUCAGUGCUUAUUUUAGGACACCAAGCUUGUCCUUGGGAAACCAUCAAUUUAUGUCAGCGAAGUGGUUUCCCUUCCAACGCUGACCUAAAUCAAGAUCAACUCAACGAGAUCUGCAAUAUUUAUUAUAGACAUAUGCAUCGACAACCGCCCUUUUAAUGUUUUUAUAAAUAGAAAGGAAGAGGGGGUUGGAGAUCUCAAAUGUGGUGAUGUUGGAGAGACCAAU